rnacentral:rRNA from 1 species
AGAGUUUGAUCAUGGCUCAGGACGAACGCUGGCGGCGUGCCUAACACAUGCAAGUCGAACGCGCUCCAUUCGGUAGCAAUACUGAUGAAGAGUGAGUGGCGAACGGGUGAGUAGCACGUGAGCAACCUGCCCCGAAGACUGGGACAACACCGGGAAACCGGUGCUAAUACCGGAUAUCCCUAUUGAACCGCAUGAUUCGA